UAAUACGGAGGGGGCUAGCGUUGUUCGGAAUUACUGGGCGUAAAGGGUGCGUAGGCGGUCCAUCAAGUCAGACGUGAAAGGCCUGGGCUCAACCUGGGAACUGCGUUUGAGACUGGUGGACUGGAGUCCGGGAGAGGUAAGCGGAAUUCCCAGUGUAGAGGUGAAAUUCGUAGAUAUUGGGAAGAACACCAGUGGCGAAGGCGGCUUACUGGACCGGUACUGACGCUGAGGCACGACAGCGUGGGGAGCAAACAGGAUUAGAUACCCUGGUAGUCCACGCCGUAAACGAUGUGCGCUAGACGCAGGGGGUUUGGCCUUCUGUGUCGCAGCCAACGCGUUAAGCGCACCGCCUGGGGAGUACGGCCGCAAGGUUA
rnacentral:rRNA from 1 species